rnacentral:rRNA from 1 species
UCAGUAGUCUUUUAAUUGAAGGCUUGUAUGAAUGGUUGGACGAGAUAUUAACUGUUUCAUCUUAAUUUUUUUUAGAAUUUAAUUUUUUAGUUAAAAAGCUAAAAUUUAUUUAAAAGACGAGAAGACCCUAUAAAUCUUUAUAUUAAAUUUAUUAUUAUUAUUUAGAUUUGUUUUAUAAUAAUAAUUAAUAAUAUUUUAUUGGGGUGAUAUUAAAAUUUAUUUAACUUUUAAUAUUUUAUUACAUUAAUUUAUGAAUAAAUGAUCCGUUUUUAACGAUUAAAAAUACAAGUUACUUUAGGGAUAACAGCGUAAUUUUUUUGGAGAGUUCUUAUCGAUAAAAAAGAUUGCGACC